rnacentral:rRNA from 1 species
CCGAGCGGUAGAGAUUCUUCGGGAUCUUGAGAGCGGCGCACGGGUGCGGAACACGUGUGCAACCUGCCUUUAUCUGGGGGAUAGCCUUUCGAAAGGAAGAUUAAUACCCCAUAAUAUAAGAAACGGCAUCGUUUUUUAUUGAAAACUCCGGUGGAUAGAGAUGGGCACGCGCAGGAUUAGAUAGUUGGUGAGGUAACGGCUCACCAAGUCAACGAUCCUUAGGGGGCCUGAGAGGGUGAUCCCCCACACUGGUACUGAGACACGGACCAGACUCCUACGGGAGGCAGCAGUGAGGAAUAUUGGACAAUGGGUGAGAGCCUGAUCCAGCCAUCCCGCGUGAAGGACGACGGCCCUAUGGGUUGUAAACUUCUUUUGUAUAGGGAUAAACCUUUCCUCGUGAGGGAAGCUGAAGGUACUAUACGAAUAAGCACCGGCUAACUCCGUGCCAGCAGCCGCGGUAAUACGGAGGGUGCAAGCGUUAUCCGGAUUUAUUGGGUUUAAAGGGUCCGUAGGCGGAUCUGUAAGUCAGUGGUGAAAUCUCACAGCUUAACUGUGAAACUGCCAUUGAUACUGCAGGUCUUGAGUGUUGUUGAAGUAGCUGGAAUAAGUAGUGUAGCGGUGAAAUGCAUAGAUAUUACUUAGAACACCAAUUGCGAAGGCAGGUUACUAAGCAACAACUGACGCUGAUGGACGAAAGCGUGGGGAGCGAACAGGAUUAGAUACCCUGGUAGUCCACGCCGUAAACGAUGCUAACUCGUUUUUGGGUUUUCGGAUUCAGAGACUAAGCGAAAGUGAUAAGUUAGCCACCUGGGGAGUACGUUCGCAAGAAUGAAACUCAAAGGAAUGACGGGGGCCCGCACAAGCGUGGAUUAUGUGGUUUAAU